CUGGUACUGAGACACGGACCAGACUCCUACGGGAGGCAGCAGUGAGGAAUAUUGGUCAAUGGCCGGAAGGCUGAACCAGCCAUCCCGCGUGCAGGAUGACGGCCCUAUGGGUUGUAAACUGCUUUUGUACCUGAAGAAACCUGGUUACGUGUAACCAGUUGCCGGUAAGGUAUGAAUAAGCAUCGGCUAACUCCGUGCCAGCAGCCGCGGUAAUACGGAGGAUGCAAGCGUUAUCCGGAUUCAUUGGGUUUAAAGGGUGCGCAGGUGGGAAAAUAAGUCAGUGGUGAAAUACUGCCGCUUAACGGUAGAAUUGCCAUUGAUACUGUUUUUCUUGAGUAUGGUUGAGGUAGGUGGAAUGUGUUGUGUAGCGGUGAAAUGCAUAGAUAUGACACAGAACGCCGAUUGCGAAGGCAGCUUACUAAGCCAUUACUGACGCUGAGGCACGAAAGCGUGGGGAUCAAACAGGAUUAGAUACCCUGGUAGUCCACGCCGUAAACGAUGAUCACUCGCUGUUUGCGAUAUACAGCAAGCGGCUGAGCGAAAGCAUUAAGUGAUCCACCUGGGGAGUACGAUCGCAAGGGUUGAAACUCAAAGGAAUUGACGGGGGCCCGCACAAGCGGAGGAACAUGUGGUUUAAUUCGAUGAUACGCGAGGAAACUUUACCUGGCUUAAAUGUAGCUGCAUUCGGCUGAAGGCUGAUUCCCUUCGGGGCUGCUUACAGUGCUGCAUGGUUGUCGUCAGCUCGUGCCGUGAGGUGUCGGGUUAAGUCCAUACGAGCGCACCCUUAUCGUUAGUUGCCAGCGGGUAA
rnacentral:rRNA from 1 species